UGCAGUCGCACGGGACUAUUUGAGUAGCAAUACAAGAAUAGUUUAGUGGCGCACGGGUGAGUAACACGUGAAUUACAUGCCCUGCAGAGGGGGAUAGCCCAGGGAAACUUGGAUUAAUACCCCAUGGUAUCGCAAGAUUAAAGGUGGCCGCAAGGCUGUCGCUGCAGGAUUGGUUCGCGCCCUAUCAGCUUGUUGGUGAGGUAACGGCUCACCAAGGCUACGACGGGUACCUGGUCUGAGAGGACGAUCAGGCACACUGGAACUGAGACACGGUCCAGACACCUACGGGUGGCAGCAGUCGAGAAUAAUUCACAAUGGGGGCAACCCUGAUGGUGCAACGCCGCGUGGAGGAUGAAGGUCUUCGGAUUGUAAACUCCUGUCAUCCGGGAGUAAGACCUGGCGAUGAAUAGUCGACAGGGUUGAUAGUACCGGAAGAGGAAGGGACGGCUAACUUCGUGCCAGCAGCCGCGGUAAUACGAAGGUCCCGAGCGUUGUUCGGAAUCACUGGGCGUAAAGGGAGCGUAGGCGGCGUGGUAAGUCAGAUGUGAAAUCCCGGGGCUCAACCCCGGAACUGCAUCCGAUACUGCCGUGCUAGAGGAUUGGAGAGGUAGCUGGAAUUCACGGUGUAGCAGUGAAAUGCGUAGAUAUCGUGAGGAACACUCGUGGCGAAAGCGAGCUACUGGACAACUCCUGACGCUGAGGCUCGAAGGCCAGGGUAGCGAAAGGGAUUAGAUACCCCUGUAGUCCUGGCAGUAAACGGUGCACGCUUGGUGUGAGGGGAAUCGACCCCCCUUGUGCCGGAGCUAACGCGUUAAGC
rnacentral:rRNA from 1 species